rnacentral:lncRNA from 1 species
UUUACUUCUGAUAUAUGUGAGGAUUUCUGGAUGAUGCAGCUGGUAGUUCCCUGCAGUUUGUCCUUCCCUUGGGCGAGGUUUGUUAGGGCCAUGGCUGCGUUGAUCUCCUUCCAGUACGUUUCAUCUUUGCUGGUUCCUUUUCUGUUAGCUUUCACACUUAUUUGGUCCAUUCUCCAAAGUUUCUGUCCGGUAGACAAAAUUGCCUUCUGUCUCUGAUGAUGAUGGAGACACCAAUUCCUCCUCAAAUUCAUUGGAACUAAAUGAACCAGAGUGAUUCCUUUGCCUUGUUUUUUCCAUCAUAGCUGCGUUAGUAGCCAUGACAUGUCUCAAUGAGUCAUUCAGGUAACGAUUCAAUAAGCUGUUUUUGUAUUUGGGAGGUGACACGUAAUCCUCAUUGGCACUUGUUUCUGGUCUCACUCCUGUUUUUAUGACUGAGCUUUCAGUUUUAAUCACAGUGUGAUGAACUGGUUUGUUGUAUCCCCCUUCAUUCAUAUGGUUUCUUGGAGGAUUUUCUCCAUCUUCAGAGCACGAGUCAUCACUGCUCACGCUCAGCCUUUCGGCAUUUCCUUGGACGUAUUUGUUGUACAGUUUUAUUCGCAAAGCCCAGCUGAGGUCUGGUUGCCUGACUGUGUUCUUAAGGCGACGUCUUGCAUUGGCAAACCAGUUUGAGACCUGCACCAGGGUCAUCUGGGAGCCCAGGGCCAGCAGGAUCUUCUCGGUCUUGGUGGGAUACGGGUUGUCGCGGUGUUUGUAGAGCCACUGCUUGAGCGGCCGCGCCAUGUCCUGCAGCGCCUGCCGCUUGUGCCGGACCUUGCCGCCGCUCUGCCGAGCCCCCGUCCUCCGGUUGCGCAGGCUGAGGCUCUCCUUGAUGGACGGGCUGUCGGGGAGCAGCACCUCGGCGUGGUGCGGGCCCUCCACCACCCCCACGUAGGGCCGGCCGCCCCGCUCCCGCUCCUUGGCGUCCUCCUCGAAAAGCACCUGGCCGCUCAGCUUGCUGAAGACGAUGGUGUUCAUGGUGGGGGGGGGCUGGGGGCCGCCGUCGGGCUGGCCGCCGGCUCCGAGGUGCGGGGGCUCCGCUCUGCGCUGCGGGGAGGCGGCAGCGGUCACCCGGCGGCCGCGCGCACCGCCCCGGGCAGCCCCGG